AUUGAACGCUGGCGGCAGGCCUAACACAUGCAAGUCGAGCGGAUGAAGGGAGCUUGCUCCUGGAUUCAGCGGCGGACGGGCGAGUAAUGCCUAGGAAUCUGCCUGGUAGUGGGGGAUAACGUCCGGAAACGGGCGCUAAUACCGCAUACGUCCUGAGGGAGAAAGUGGGGGAUCUUCGGACCUCACGCUAUCAGAUGAGCCUAGGUCGGAUUAGCUAGUUGGUGGGGUAAAGGCCUACCAAGGCGACGAUCCGUAACUGGUCUGAGAGGAUGAUCAGUCACACUGGAACUGAGACACGGUCCAGACUCCUACGGGAGGCAGCAGUGGGGAAUAUUGGACAAUGGGCGAAAGCCUGAUCCAGCCAUGCCGCGUGUGUGAAGAAGGUCUUCGGAUUGUAAAGCACUUUAAGUUGGGAGGAAGGGCAGUAAGUUAAUACCCUGCUGUUUUGACGUUACCAACAGAAUAAGCACCGGCUAACUUCGUG
rnacentral:rRNA from 1 species